UGGGAUUUGUGCCCUUAUAAAAGAGAUCCCAGAGAGCUCAUUGGCCCCUUCCAAAGUAUGGGGAUACAGCAGGAAGUUGCCAUCUAUGAGCCAGAAGGGUGAACCUCACCCCAGAUGCUGAAUCUGCCUUGAUAUUGGACUUCCCAGCCUGCACAACUGACAAACUGGAAACACAGGUUAUAUCACCAAGGCUUUGACUGAAACAUCAUGUUUUCAGAUAUGACCAGAAGGCUUUAGGGGACUAAGGUUGGCUUUAUGGAACCAAUAAAGUACCAUCUUGGAAAAACUGGCUCUAGGGUUCCCAGACUUACAGGCACUGUACGUGGCACUGAGAAUGCAAAGCAAAACGAGUCAUGGUCUACUGGUGGGAGCCUUCUCAGCGGAGAAAAGAUCAAUAAGA